GGCGCGGCCCCGGCCCCGCUCGCCCCCGCGCCUCCCGCGGCUCGGCCCCCGGCCCGGACCGCCCCCAGCCCGCCGACCCCACGGGCCGCCUAGAACCCCCGUCCCGGGGAAGGGCUGAACGGGCUCCCGCGCCGGCCUCGGGGUCGGGGCUCAGGAGGACACGACCCCACAGGACCGUGUCGGCCCGUCUGCGACAGGUGGCACGUACCUGCCUCUUCUCCGAGGAUGGACGAGUCGAGCCGGGCACAAGCAUGGAGCUGCGGGUGAGUCCCGGCUGGUACUGGCGCGGCGCAGUGAGCAGCAGCUGACGCAGAGGGCUCCCUGGCCUCGGCUCCUGCCCGCCUCUCCCCCACCUCCGCCGGGGGCCCAGAAAGGACCUCCCCGGGAAAUCGGCGCCACCCAGCGGGCAGCCGCCUCAUUGCGCCCGGCCGGCAAAGCCACGCCGCGCGUCUCGCGUCACUGAGAUGCGUCAAGGCUAUUGGCUUGUCCCAAUUGUGACGUCAGGAGAGCCCCGCCCGGCCUGGGUCUCCCAGGCGACCGGUAUAUACAGAGAAGCACGUGGAGGCAAAGCCCGCGAGUUUGGAAGGGGUGGAGCUCGACCAGAAGCGGACGGGGUAUGUGUACUAUUCUUAUCUCCAUUUUACAAAUGAGGAAACUGAGGCACAGAGAAGCUCAUCAACAGGGUGAACUGAAUCUUUGGAAAUACCCUAAGGUCAUUUGGAUUCAACCCUGAAAUACAAGGCACUUCUUUGCUCCUCUGCUGCGUUCCAGGCACUGUUCUGGUGCCGGGCAACAGAAGGGCACAGGCCCUGCCUCUGAACGCCGCUGGGUCCCAUUCAUCUUCCUUCUGCCUCGUGGACAGUUCGCAAGUGACCUCCCCCUGCAACUCUGGAGCCACUUCAGCAGAAGAGGGAGGCAGCUGUCCUUCUAAGGGGCCUUCUGUCAUGCUUACAGUACAGACAAUAACAUGGGGCUGGUGUCUCUGUGACCCAGGAGCCCCUCCCCAGGCAGCGCCUGCCCUCGCCCUGGCUCAGGCCCCAAGGACCACCUGCCUCUGGCCUGUAUCUAGGGCCACACCAGUGACAUCUCCAAGCCUCGGUGUUCUCACCUGUCACAUGGUGACAUCACACCUGGCUUUCCUGCCCUCUGACUGAGCAAGUGAAAUCCCCAGGUCUCAAGGAACUGUUCCGGCACCCAUCGGGUGGGAUAGCACCAAGGAUCCGGAUGGAGGAGGAGGCCUGGAAACCCACACGGCCCAACAGCAAGUUUUCUAGCAGUUGGAGAUGAAAAUGUCGCCCCAAAGCCCAAGCUCAAGGACGCGUGGCCCCCUCUCCCGCUCACCCUGAACCUCCAAUCCUGUUUCCACUUGGGGAGUCACCUGGUCUUCAAGUGCCCCCUGAGGCACAUUAGCCUUUCAAUAAAGCCUUGAAUCUCUG